rnacentral:sRNA from 1 species
AACCUGUUCCGGCGAAAUAAAAUGAAUGUGGGUAUCAAUUCCGCCUGCAGUAACAAUAAGACCUUCCCCCGCCAGCGCCUCUGUACUGGCUCCAACAGUCAUGCCAGGAGUAACACCGUCCAUAGUAUCUGGAUUUCCAGCCUUUCCGAUGCCUGCAAUUUUUCCGUCUUUAAUCCCGAUGUCUGCUUUGUAAAUUCCUGUGUAAUCCAGAAUUACGCAGUUUGUAAUUACAAGGUCCAGAUCUCCAGUCUUGCUUGUUGUAUUCACCGACUGCCCCAUUCCGUCAC